rnacentral:rRNA from 1 species
GACGAACGCUGGCGGCGUGCUUAACACAUGCAAGUGGAGCGACGAACCGGGCUUCGGCCCGGGGCAGAGCCGCGAACGGGUGAGUAACACGUGGGUUACCUGUCCCGAUGACCGGGACAACUCGGGGAAACCCGGGCUAAUACCGGAUGUGCCCUUCGGGGGAAAGGAAGCUUCGGCCUCCGCAUCGGGAUGGGUCCGCGGCCCAUUAGCUUGUGGGUGGGGUAAUGGCCCACCAAGGCGACGAUGGGUAGCUGGUCUGAGAGGACGAUCAGCCACACUGGGACUGAGACACGGCCCAGACUCCUACGGGAGGCAGCAGUGGGGAAUCUUGCGCAAUGCGCGAAAGCGUGACGCAGCAACGCCGCGUGGGGGAAGACGGCCUUCGGGUUGUAAACCCCUUUCAGUUGGGACGAAGCUCUGCCGGUGAAUAGCCGGCCGGAGUGACGGUACCUUCAGAAGAAGCCCCGGCUAACUACGUGCCAGCCGCCGCGGUAAUAC